UGACCUGAGCUGUAGGCAGAUGCUUAAUUGGCUGAGCCACCUGGGUGCCCCUAGUACAAUUUCUAAUACAGAAUGGGAGCUCCAUAAAUAUUUGUCAAGUGAACAACUUGUCAUGUACUAAACCAUACUUCAGGAACUAUUUUGUUGGAUCUAAUUCUGUCUCCACAUUGAGAUAGUCACCAGAUAGCCAAUUUGCAGCUCCAUAAUUCAUUAUGGCCCCAUUAUUCUGGCAGGCUUUGUUAAAUUCAUUAUAAUGUAAAUUAUGCUACUUAUAUUUUUUAAUUUUUUUGAGUUUGGAGAUGUUACAACAUCUAGUGUCUGCAGUUUGUAAUCUAUACAGACAUUUUCUAUCAAUUUCACAAAACUUGAAAACUAAGCUCUGACAUGUGGUAAUACUUUAAAUCUUUCUUUGGCAUGCUGUAAAUAGUACCUAGUCAGAGUGAAGUAGCAUUCCUUCCAGACUUGAGUUUUGUAACUUGGAGUCUGAACUGCAGGAAGUCUCCAGAAGGGUCACUAGAUCCCCUAAAAUUUAAUGUAAAAUAUUACAUGUAUAGACAUUUUUCUGGAAAGAGAAACCAUAAUUUAUAUUAUUUUAGGAAAGGGAUAAAUGACUCCAAAAAAUUUAAACAAUGCAAUUAUACCAUAUGUUUUACAUUGUGCCAUAAAUCAUAAAUCAGAAGCUUUUUACAUACUUGGUUCCCUAAGCACUCUGAAACAAAAAAAUGGGGAAGGUUCUGUUCUAGAUUUGAAUACACACACAAAAAACACACCAAUUUAGCUAUGUGGAGUAGAACUGGGAUUAAAAGGAAAAUCAGCCCAUAUCCAAAAGUGGGCUGGGUAAAUUCUGCACAGAAUUCUUAAGAGUUUCAGACUAGUCUUAUUUCAUAUUUUCUGACAAAUAAAUUUUAAUGUUUAAAUUACUAUAUAGACCGUCAGAAAAAUAAAACCAAAGAGUAUGUAAGUAGUAUUUUGAUUAUUGGAAGUACUAUUUAAGCUCAGUUCACUUGUAUCUUGGUUACUGAAAUAUAAUUCAAAUGAGAAGGAAUGGAGCAGGAGCCAAUUUCAGAGGAAGCCUAAUCUUUCUUUUAGCACAUGGUUCAGAUUUUCAUUAAUAAAAAUGUGUAGUGUUUUAAUAUGCACAACAGGCUAGCAUAUCGUAAGUGUGAAAUGAGGUUAAUUUUAUUAAACUUGCUAACUUGCUUAGUCUAGGUGAAAAUGAAUUUACUGACAUGAGACUAGAACAUAUCUGAACUAUGAGUGAAAAAGAAGUCAAUCUGUUCAAUGAUGAAAUAUUAAAAUAUGAGAAGGAGUUUUGACGGAAUGAGGUGGAGGAGCAAAGUGCUUCAUUCAGAUUUUCCAAACAAUCCCCAGUCACUAAAUAGGAAAGCAUUCAUCUAUUACUCUUUGGAAUAUUAAAUGAUAUGUUAAAGAGAGAUUUGGUUUGCUUUGUUAAAUUUGGUGCUUUGGAGGUCUGAAUAUCAAAAGUUGGCAUAUCAACUUGCGGUCCACCUGCAACUUUAGUUUUAUUAACUUGGGAAAUGAGAAAAUGUGAAGGGAAAAUAUGUGGUAGAAUAUGGGAGGGACGUAGAGCUGAGACUCAGGACUGAAAAAUCUGUCUUGCCACUGUAAUAUAAUCUAGUCUCCUUUGUCAGUAGGCAGAAGCACAUUACUGGGUAUCAUCACAGAAAUGCAUUUCUGAAGAAAAAUACUGUAAUCAAAGCCUUUUAAUGAGGAAAAAAAGACAGCCAAACCAGUCCAAGUCACAUUGAGGUUCUAAGCUCCUAUGAGGAAGUACAUUAAAGAGUGAUCAAAUAUUGCUGUAAAAGAGGUCAUGAAAUAAGAGAAUGAAUGGAACCAGCCUCCAUGUAUCAGAUGCUGCCAUGAACAUCUCAUUUAUUUUAUCUAAUUGAAUCCUAACCAAGAUUUUAUGAAAUGGCUACAUGAGUGUCUGGAUUCAUCUGCAUUAAAACCCCUUGAGAAUUUUUAUAGGUUGAACCAAAACAGAAUAAUGAAAUGAACCCUCCUGGGUAGAAAGGCAGAAAGAGACAUGAAAGAUGAUUUCUCUGAAUUAUUUGGCCUUUAUAGGAAGAACCAUGAUGAGCUUCUAGAAAAUGCAUUAUUGAUGUGAUGUAAUAAGGGGUGCUGAAAUAGCACCAGAUGCCACUAGAUGGCCGCUGAGAACAGAACCUUGGUUUAUUCACCAUGAUGACUGGAUACAAAUGGCUGUUAAGCAUCAAGGCAAGGUGGAAUUGCUCUGCCUAAUCGGGGAGGAAAUUAUUUUAAUGAGCUGAGAAGAGGAGGGAAGAAGAGAGCCAGUGGAUGCUGUCAGAGGAGAAGAAGAAGAGGCUGGCGUCCGGAGACCAUACCGCCAGGAGCCUGGUGAUCUGUCCAACUAUCAUUGGGAUUUGACUCAACACUCCAGCCAACAGCCUUCUUCUGUCUGCUCUUCUUUGGGGGCUUACUUUGUUCUUUUUAUGCCAGGGUCCCGGGCCUGUCCUGGAUCUCACCUGUUCCUGGAAAAUCUGCUUUACCUGCAUUAUCUCUACGUGGUCCAAGCUGUUUGGCUUCAUGUGAUCAGGACUCAGUGACUUCCAGCCCGCGUAUCAUUUUGCCAGACCCAGCUUUCACAGGCAACAUGAAAGCCUUGAGGACCAUCAGCUCUGCCCUGUCAUUUCUUCCUCUGCUAUCCCAAUCCCACAAGAGGUUUCUUACCAGAGAGGCUUAUUUAAAUUCUCCACUUUGAAGGAAGCCAGUGAACUCAUGUACUCUCUGCCUUGCUUCUGGAAUUUCAUACCAUCAGAAAGAACUGUGGAACCAUUGCUGGUCUAUGACGAACCAAAGACCUCCUCCUUCUGGACAAAACCACCUUGGAGUCUUUUCCUUGCCAUAAAAUGAAAGCUUCAGGACAAUAAGAAGUAGAAACUUGUUCAAAGGUUUCACUCUCCCAUCCCCUACUAAACGAAGGACCAGGGGAUAUUUAAAGAGCGCCCGCAGUCUGGAUGAAGAACUUCUUCAGAUGCAGAUCCUUCAGGCCCCAGACCUGCAUGGAGCCCCACUGAGUGGGUGAUGGUCCUCGCAGUCGCCACACUCUAUUACAGACUACUGCAGACAACAGAGCCAUUUCACUCGUCACACCAAGACUCCUUUCAGCCUGUGAUGCUAGGAGCUCAGAGGCAACAUCUUCAACCUGCCUUGAAGGCCACUGUGGAAGGGCUUCUGAGAAGACAGGACUGGGAGAAAUGUGCAUCACUUCUGCUGACAUACAUGGAGUCCAUGACAUACAUGGAUUCAAAGGAAGCCAGACCCUUCACUGUCACAUUUAAGGCUGCAGAUUGCUUUCGGACUUCUGGUUUCAAACAGUCUGCGAACAGCAUGGAUGACAUAUGGAUUCACGAAGAAAGGUUUUGUUUAAUGGCAAGGAGCAUCAGCUGUCGUCGCCUUGUCCCUUGGCUGCUGCCAGGCAUCAUGUUAAAACAGUGGGGGCAGCAGGAUCUGCCCAGGCAGUCUUGGCUCUUCCAUUUCUUCAAAGAAUGUGGAUGCAGAGUCUUUCUCUUGCAAGCACCGACUAGGAUUCAAGUUCGAAAUACCCAUUAUUAUUUCACCUGCCUUGAAAUGGAAAUUGUAAGCACUCUGGUAAAUGAUUUGAAAGACUGUCUAAUUUCUGUAACUACCUCUGUCAGCUGUUAACUUGCAAUUUUGUAACAUCUAAAACAUUCUGAAAUUUCUCUGUGCAUACCCCUGAGUGAGCUGACUACCCACUCACCUGUUCCCUGUACCAAUUCUGCCCAAAAAAGGAAGGAAGGAAGGAAGGAAGGAAGGAAGGAAGGAAGGAAGGAAGGAAAGAAGGAAGGGGAAGGGAAAAAGGGAAGGAACUAUUUUUCUCUUUCUCGGGCGAUGGAAGAAUACUGUUCUCAAUGAGCCCAGCAUGGGUGAACAAUGAGUCUUUUUCCAUGGACUAGAAAUAACAGAGGAGUCUAUCACAAUGCACAAUCUUUGUGCCGUUGUACAAAAGAUGCAAAAUAUUCUGGUUGAAAUGGAUGCUCCCUUGGCUCUCCUGACUCCCAUUUUCCUCCCUCCCUCCCUGGGGCCGAGAAGUCGCCACACUGCAUUUGGUGAGUUUCUUCCUUGUGUGGAUUAUAUUACUGCAUUUUCUCAUUCAGUCCUUCCAGCAACUCUUUGAAAAGGAUAUUAUCCCCAUGUUACAGAUGAGGAAACUGAGACCCAAGGAGAUCAGUAUUUGCCCACAGUCACACAACAAGUAGGUAAAAGAGCGGAGUCUCAAACCCAGGUUGCUCUUAUUCAAAACUUGUGCCCUUUUUCCUGUAUCCCACACCUGGAGGAGCUGGUCUUUCUCAUGCCACCUGAAGACUGCGGGAUUUCUUCCAGCUGAAUCAUUGUAUCUCUGCGAACCUUGAUUCAGAAGCUUUACUUUCUGAUUCCUUAACAGAAUCAUUUUUAGAUUUUUGCCCUUUUGUAAAGCCUAAACAUGAAUCCAACAAGAGAGGGAUGAAAUGGGAGAAUUGCACUAUCUUAUCAUAUGCAUUUGGGCAUCCUCUCUGUUUUUAAAUAUACCACUGAUUCAUGAUUACCUUCUUUUUUUUUUUUUUUCAUGAUUACCUUCUUGAGGGUCAACAGUGUAUCCCAUAUGUCACUCGUCCCCUGCCAUUUGGGAAGCCAUCUGUAAAGUGUUUUUUAAAACCCCUCCAUGGAUACUUAUCAUUUGUUUUAUAGCUAUACCGCUCAAAAAAGGCUUCCAGAGAAAAGUAGGACAAAAACAAAGGAUAACUUAGAUUCAACAGUGGCUACUAUACGAAUUGGGAAAAAAAAAUGCGUUGCAAAGCAAUUUGAUGAUAUGUAACAGGAACCACAAAAUUAUCCCUAGUGUUUAAGAACUACAUUCUGAAAAUCUAUCCUAAAGAAGUAACCCAAAUAGUGGAAAAAACAACAUUCAAAACACUUCCUAAUUCUGUUAUUUAUUGAAGUCUGGAAGUGACAUAAUGGUCCAACAAAUGUUGUUAGAUUACUAUAGAAGGACCCCUUGACUAAAUCAUGUAUUGUCAUUAAACUGAUAAUUUGAAAGAAAAGCAAGGCUCCCGUCCUCACUUUGCUAAUUAGUUGUGUUAAGUUUGCCAAGCUGAUUAAUCAUUCUGAUUUUCAAACUUUUCAUUUGCAACCUACAAAAUACUGAAAUCUACCUUAAAGAUGUGAGAAAAUUCACUGGUCUAGAAUGAAAUAACUUAUCCCACUUACUGAUACCGGAUAGUACUCAAUAAAUUUUAUCUAAUGGAAUGAUUAUCUAUUUUAAAAGUUUAGAUUUAUUACAAUUACUACAAAAUAGGUCAGUAAAAGAGA